CUGGCCCCUGCUCCUGGGAUCAAUCCCUCUGCCUGCUCAGCCUCUCCAGCAGCCUGAACCUGAGCCCACAUGUUUUCUCUUCCUCAGAUAUGUGCAGGAGCAAGCAGCAGCCCCUGGCCCCGGAGCUGGUUUCCCGGAGGGCUCAGGGACUGGCCGCACGAUGGGCAGGCUGCAGACAGAGGGGCUGGCCAUGGGGAUAUGGCUCAGAGCACCCAAAAUGCCUGGGAUCAGAGGGAGUCAGGCAGCGAGGAUCCAUGGUGUCUUUUACAAUAUGUUCUGCUCCAGCCAGUGAAUUUUCUUCAACUGGCCAGGUAAGCAAAAUGGUUAUUUAUGCUUAUUAAUGUGCUUAUUUAUAUGUCAUAUUUUUAUUUUUUUUUUAGAAAAAUAUUUUCCAGACAUUUGACAACUAAUU
rnacentral:lncRNA from 1 species